GACGAACGCUGGCGGCAUGCCUAAUACAUGCAAGUCGAGCGAACAGAUGAAGUGCUUGCACUUCUGACGUUAGCGGCGAACGGGUGAGUAACACGUAGGGAAUCUACCUAUAAGCGGGGGAUAACAUUCGGAAACGGGUGCUAAUACCGCAUAAUAUCUUCUUCCGCAUGGAAGAAGAUUGAAAGACGGCUCUGCUGUCACUUAUAGAUGACCUUGCGGUGCAUUAGUUAGUUGGUGGGGUAAUGGCCUACCAAGACGAUGAUGCAUAGCCGACCGUGCAGGGUGAUCGGCCACAUUGGGACUGAGACACGGCCCAAACUCCUACGGGAGGCAGCAGUAGGGAAUCUGCCGCAAUGGGCGAAAGCCUGACGGAGCAAUGCCGCGUGAGUGAAGAAGGCCUUCGGGUCGUAAAACUCUGUUAUAAGAGAAGAACAAAUUGUAGAGUAACUGCUACAGUCUUGACGGUAUCUUAUCAGAAAGCCACGGCUAACUACGUGCCAGCAGCCGCCGUAA
rnacentral:rRNA from 1 species